UCUUGAAUUUUCCUUCAAAACAACUUUUUGGAGUAUUUGUUCGUUUUGUCUUGGAAUUGUUCGAUUCUUCAAUCGGCACAAAAAUUCGCAGUUUAAUUGCGAAAUCCGCCUGACAAUGCAUUAAUCGCUUUUUCGAAAACCUCGCAAGGCAGACUCCAAACACCCAGCUCUACCCACAUCCACCCACAAAAGCUGCGCCAGCAUGUUGCGUAACACGCCUUUCGGUGCCACUCCCACCUACAAACUACUCCUGGGCUUCGGACUCUGCUCCCUUGGGGGCGCCAUGCUAUAUGCCUACUUCAAGACUCGAAACGACGAGGAGGAAGCGGACUCAGGUGGCCAACGGCCGGCAUCCGGGAUUAGAAGACAGACGGAGGAACAGAAGCCCCAAAAGGAAGUGUGCCUCAAACUCGUCGUGGACAACGAGCAUGUGCCCCUGAUAAUGGGUCGCGGUGGAUCCAAUAUGAAGCUAAUUGAAGAAAAGACCCAGGCCAAGAUAAGAUUACGGGACAAAGACAGUGGCCACAAAUUCUGCGACAUUAGCGGCGUUCCCGAUGCGGUUAAGGCGGCUCGAGCCCUGCUGAUCAAGGAGAUUGAACGUGCGCCCGUGGUGAAAGUGGAACUGCAGGUGCCCCAGAGGCUGGCCAGCAAAAUUAAUGGACGCGGCGGCGAGCUCCUCCAGGAGAUCCGGAGCAGUUCGCUGGCCAAGCUGAAUAUCGAUUUAAAUGGGCGGAAUGGGAAGGCCAAGAUUACGAUUAUCGGCAAUCAAAAGCAAGUGAACAUAGCCCGAAAAAUGUUGGAUGAUCAGAUAGAGGAGGAUGAGGAACUCGUGCGGUCCAUGGAGGAGGUGGAACAGCGUCGCGAGCCCCGCAGAUCUCCCACCAACAGCAUUGCGUCCAGCAUGUACUCCUCCCAGACAUCCCUAAGCUCUCACACUCAGCCCAGGGACAAGUUAAUGGCCUCCAAGGGCGAGGGCAAGCCAAUGGAGGUUUAUGUCUCCGCAGUGGCCUCGCCCACUAAAUUCUGGGUGCAGCUAAUCGGACCGCAGUCCAAGAAGCUGGAUAGCAUGGUCCAGGAGAUGACCAGCUAUUAUAGUAGUGCUGAAAACAGGGCCAAGCACGUGCUGACUGCUCCAUAUGUGGGUCAGAUUGUGGCAGCCGUGUUCAAGUUCGACGAGAAGUGGUAUCGCGCAGAAAUCGUGGACAUUAUGCCCAACCAGUACAAUCCAAAGGAGCAGGUGAUUGAUCUCUACUUCGUGGACUAUGGAGACAGCGAAUAUAUUUCGCCAGCUGAUAUCUGCGAGCUGCGCACUGACUUCCUCACGCUCAGGUUCCAAGCCGUUGAAUGCUUCUUGGCCAAUGUAAAAUCUACCAUCCAGACGGAGCCAAUUACGUGGCCGAAGUCCUCAAUCGCCAAGUUCGAAGAGCUGACAGAGGUGGCACACUGGAGGAAGCUGAUUGCACGAGUGGUGACUUACAAAGAGCGUCCACGGGCAACCACUGCUGUAAGUUCUGCCGCCAAGGAGGGAACUCCGCUGCCCGGAGUGGAACUAUUCGAUCCAGCCGACAACUCUGAACUGAAUAUUGCCGAUUUGAUGAUUACCCAGGGCUUUGCCCUGCCCCUGGACGAUUCGUAUCCAGUGCGGUCACGCUCCUCGACGCCCUCAAGUAACAGUGACUCAACCAUUGAGGAGUUGUGCGUCAGCAAUCCAGUGACUCCGCUCACGCCCCACUCACCCAUGUCGAUGUCCAUUGAUGUUGAGAGCAUUACGCAGGCGGAGAACGAGCACCUCGCCCAGCAGCUGCAGCAUUUGCAGCACAAACUGAACGGAAACGACAUAAAAACCAUUAAUCCAGCUAAAAUGACGGCUACAGACCUCGAAAACGGGAAUAACAAUAAUGCCAGCACCACAAAUGGUGCUAGCGCGCAUUAGGAUUUCACAUUGUUACUAGUUACCCUCGCCUAAUUGUUUAUAAGAUGACGGCUGGACGAGCAGCUCACUACUUGACGUGUACAUAAAAGUAUAGCUCUUAAGGAACUUAUUGUAUAGAUCCUAAAAGCUGACGAUGGAACGGCACAGAUCCUUAAUUGUUUAUAGCAACCUUUGCCAUGUUACUUAUUGUUAGCAAGAACAAGAAAAACAUUUGUACAUCAACAAAAAAUACACAAAAGA
rnacentral:misc_RNA from 1 species